rnacentral:piRNA from 1 species
UGGGAUGAUAGGCAUGUGCUACCAUGCAGAGC